UUAUGACUGAACCAGAAAUGACAUCACAAGGCUUUCACAUGUUAUAUCUUUUAACCCUUUCGCCAACCGUCAUUUAUUAUUUCCAGUGAAAGCAUCAUGCCGGCAAUUUUCUGUAGUUAAGUCUAAGGCUGGAUUCACACUGGCAAGCAAUCGCGACUACGACUACAGCCAGUGACUGGUUGCUAUGGAAAGAAUCCCACCAGGCCUCGCUUCACGACUCGUCACUGAGACCAACGACAAUAUUCAACCGGCUGAAUAUUAUCGCAGUCACAGGGAAUACGUCAUUUCAAUAGCCAAUAGAAAGGAGGCAUUUGGUCAUCUUUUACGAGCUGUAUGCUACAUUACCUCUUAUUGGCUGUUGUUUACGCAGUUACUAUUGGUCGAUUCAAAAAAUCGUGAAGCCAGUCGUUUUCAGUGUGCAUGCUCUGUUGCAAGCCGUCAGUCGUGAUCGCAAUCGUGGUCAUGAUCGCUGACCAGUGUGAAUCUGGCCUAACAAUAUUCAGAAAUUUAUAAAUUGUCAUAUCGUGU
rnacentral:lncRNA from 1 species